GCCUGACUGGCUCAGUUUGUAGAGCAUAUGACUCUUGAUCUUGGGUUGGUGAGUUCGAGCCCCACAUUGGGCA
rnacentral:tRNA from 1 species